AGACGUUAUCCCAGUCCCAAAAAUAUCUAAUCCCAAAUCAGUUGAUAGCGACCUAAGACAUAGUUCUCUCACACCGGUGCUGAGUAAAUUAUUGGAAAGCUUCGUUUUUCGGUGGCUUUUUAAUCAUAUCAAACCAUCAAUUGACCCGCUAUAGUUUGGAAAUAUAAAAAAAUUGCUCCACCACACACGCUCUUAUCCAUAUGAUCCAUAAUUGGCUGGCCGAAUUAGAAAACCCUGGUUCAACUAUAUCAGAUGUUAUAUGAUUGACUUUUCGAAAGCCUUCGACCAUCCCUCCCAUCUUGUUGAACUGGUGCGCUGAGUUCCUGCAUGACCAAUAUUUACGUGUCAAACUUGGCCAGAAUAAAUAUCAUCAUGGCGACAAAUAAAUGCAGGGGUUGCACAAGGUACAAAACUUGGACCCCUCUUCUUCCUUGUGAUGAUAAACGACUUGCAAAUUAAAAUUCCAUUGUACAAAUAUGUCGAUGACUGUUCCACUUAUGAAAUCGUUUCAAGAUCCUCCCCAAAUUCAUCCCUUCAAGCUAAUAUAAACACUACAAAAUGACUGGACCAAUCACAACAACAUGCGGCUUAAUGCAUCUAAAACCAAAGAAAUGCGUGUAUCCUUCCUUAAAGCUAGUCCCCAUGGAAUUCGAUGCCCUCUCUUCAUCUGGUUUAAACAUAGAGAUCGUACAAGACCUUCAAACUUCUGGGAGUGAUAAUAUUAUUGGACCUUACCUGGAAUGCGCACGUUGAUUAUAUCUGCACCAAAGCAAGGUCAAGGAAACGUC